rnacentral:rRNA from 1 species
GAAAGAUGGUGAACUAUGCCUGAAUAGGGUGAAGCCAGAGGAAACUCUGGUGGAAGCUCGUAGCGAUUCUGACGUGCAAAUCGAUCGUCAAAUUUGGGUAUAGGGGCGAAAGACUAAUCGAACCAUCUAGUAGCUGGUUCCCUCCGAAGUUUCCCUCAGGAUAGCUGGAGCCCGGUGCAGUUUUAUCAGGUAAAGCGAAUGAUUAGAGGUCUUGGGGUUGAAACAACCUCAACCUAUUCUCAAACUUUAAAUGGGUAAGAAGCUUGGCUUGCUUAAUUGAAGUCAGGCAUGGAAUGCCGGGGCUCCUAGUGGGCCAUUUUUGGUAAGCAGAACUGGCGAUGUGGGAUGAACCAAAUGCUGGGUUAAGGUGCCCGAAUCAACGCUCAGCAGAUACCAGGAAAGGUGUUGGUA